rnacentral:rRNA from 1 species
GGAAUAUUGCACAAUGGGCGAAAGCCUGAUGCAGCGACGCCGCGUGAGGGAUGACGGCCUUCGGGUUGUAAACCUCUUUCAGCAGGGAAGAAGCGAAAGUGACGGUACCUGCAGAAGAAGCGCCGGCUAACUACGUGCCAGCAGCCGCGGUAAUACGUAGGGCGCAAGCGUUGUCCGGAAUUAUUGGGCGUAAAGAGCUCGUAGGCGGCUUGUCACGUCGGAUGUGAAAGCCCGAGGCUUAACCUCGGGUCUGCAUUCGAUACGGGCUAGCUAGAGUGUGGUAGGGGAGAUCGGAAUUCCUGGUGUAGCGGUGAAAUGCGCAGAUAUCAGGAGGAACACCGGUGGCGAAGGCGGAUCUCUGGGCCAUUACUGACGCUGAGGAGCGAAAGCGUGGGGAGCGAACAGGAUUAGAUACCCUGGUAGUCCACGCCGUAAACGUUGGGAACUAGGUGUUGGCGACAUUCCACGUCGUCGGUGCCGCAGCUAACGCAUUAAGUUCCCCGCCUGGGGAGUACGGCCGCAAGGCUAAAACUCAAAGGAAUUGACGGGGGCCCGCACAAGCGGCGGAGCAUGUGGCUUAAUUCGACGCAACGCGAAGAACCUUACCAAGGCUUGACAUAUACCGGAAAGCAUUAGAGAUAGUGCCCCCCU